CGCUUUGUAUUUCCCUCCAAAUGUGUUAAGUUUGAUGAUUUUUGCGGGAGUUGAAAAGUAUUUUCAAUAGAGAAUAGUUGUGCUUAUGAUUUGUUUUAUUUGUUUUAAGGAUUUGGAAUAAGUAUUAUGCACCCAGUCACUGUGUGAGUGAAGUGUUUGUUGAUUGGAGUAAAGUUAAUUAGAUGGUUUGAUAUUGUUUAGAGCAUACAAUUCCACAAAUUGUGUGCUGGACUUGUUAACUAGGUACUCUAGUUGACUGUGAUAGUGUAAUGUGAAACAGAGUGCAGGAACAGUGAUAUAAUGGUUUGAGACAUUUUAAGAGGAUACAGUGAUUAUUUAUAUUUAUUUGUUUAUCAACAUAAUAACACAGUGAACUAUUAAUAAAUGUAUAUGUGAACCCAAGCCUAUUUGGAUUUGUAAUCUUUUAUUUAGAUACAAAGUAACCAAAGG